UGCAGGGGCCAGGUGGAGAUGCGGGUGAGGCCAGCAGCCUGCCAGAGCUCUGAGAAGAAAGCAGGGACGAGGUUCUUGCGCGGGGAAAGCCGAGGUUGCCACCACAGGCCUGGCACGACCGGAGCCUGGAUGCCCCGCCCGGCCCGGCCUCCGCGCGCACAGGUACCUGGAGACGAUUUCAACUGAAGUAAUGAAGGCAGUGUCGUGCUGUCGAGAGAAAGGUGGAUCCCAACAACAGGAAACUACCUAAAUCACCGACCAGUUCUGGUGCUUGCCCGCCGCCGCCACCGCCGCCGCCGCCGUUUUUAGCAAUUAAGGCAUUACGGAGGGAGAAGCCACCGGCCCCUGUAAGGUUUGACCCUUUUAUGCAUGUAACUUCACAGUAUAAAGGAAACCAAACAAUGUCUCCCUUCUCUAGUCUAUUCCGCUUGCCCCAGCCCUCCUCGGCUUCCAUUAAUUUUGGAAAGAAAAAAAAAAGGAAGAAAUAAAAAAGGGGGGGGGGACAAACCUCCACAAGAUAGGGAGAGUUGUGGUGUGCUUGUCGUGUGUUACCAGUGGUAACGAUUACUUUAUGACAAAAAUCCACUAAAUCCACAUGUAUAAA